rnacentral:rRNA from 1 species
CAGUGGGGAAUAUUGCGCAAUGGGGGGAACCCUGACGCAGCGACGCCGCGUGAGCGAAGAAGGCCUUCGGGUCGUAAAGCUCUGUCUUUGGGGAAGAAGAAAGUGACGGUACCCAAGGAGGAAGCCCCGGCUAACUACGUGCCAGCAGCCGCGGUAACACGUAGGGGGCGAGCGUUGUCCGGAAUUACUGGGCGUAAAGGGUGCGUAGGCGGCCUGAGAAGUCAUGUGUGAAAUACCUGGGCUCAACCUGGGUGUUGCACAUGAAACUGGCGGGCUUGAGUGCAGGAGAGGGAAGUGGAAUUCCUAGUGUAGCGGUGAAAUGCGUAGAUAUUAGGAGGAACACCAGUGGCGAAGGCGGCUUACUGGACUGUAACUGACACUGAGGCUCGAAAGCGUGGGGAGCAAACA